UUGGCCUGGAGGUCAAAUCCCCCCCCAGCAUUACCUACAACAAUCAAAAUUUUAAAACAAUCAGAGGUCACAUGGAAGAAAAUAUGUUUGUGUGAAGUUAGUCACUGACAGCUAUUGAUUAUGUGGCAGAAUAUUAGAAAUAGAUCAGCAGUCCAUCAACAGGAGACAGGUUGUUAUCUCCAGCCUGAGAGGAAGACUCCACGUCACUCUGUGAGACAAGCCCCUGAUUGACUGCUCUGCUGCGUGAGCCUGAACCAAGUGUGGCCACCUGUCUGUCUCCAUCUUCGUUGUCCAUCUUUCAGUGUGCAUCGCCGGGUGGCCUUUGCUGGAGCCUAGGACCCACUAGGAAUAGGCAGAAGGCUCCCUAAAGAUGUCCACAACCUAAUCCUUGGACCAUGCAACUAUGCUGUACUAUAUAACAAAGGGAAAUCUGUAGAUAUCAUUAAAGUCACAGACUUUAAAAAUGAGGAGAGAAGAAAAAAAAUGAGGAGAGCCCUAGCUGGUUUUGCUCAGUGGAUAGAGCGUCAU